UACGUAGGGUGCGAGCGUUGUCCGGAAUUAUUGGGCGUAAAGAGCUCGUAGGCGGUGUGUCGCGUCGGCCGUGAAAACCUGGGGCUUAACUCUGGGCGUGCGGUCGAUACGGGCAUCACUAGAGUUCGGCAGGGGGAGACUGGAAUUCCGUGUGUAGCGGUGAAAUGCGUAGAUAUACGGAGGAACACCAGCGGCGAAGGCGGGUAGCUGGGCCAACACGUGACGCUGAUGCGCGAAAGCCAGGGGAGCGAACGGG
rnacentral:rRNA from 1 species